GAUUUCUUCAGUAAUUUCACAAUCAUAAAACUCGAAAUAUUCUCAAACUUAAACUGCAUGGCAAAACCAGCAGCUUUCAUAUAACCUAUGUCCCGUAAAGUGUAAAACAUAUAAUUUUCUAAUAGUUCACACGCAUUAUUUUACAGACUGGCGAUCAAAAGUUUGAAAUAAGACUUCUUUAAUGUUUUUGAGGCGGAGAAGUAGGAGGAGGAAGAUAAGUAUUCUCUUGAGAAGGAAUGCAAUGAAGCAUUUUGCCUUUAACAAAUACCCAAACGCCCCUUUCUCCUAGCAUUUUUGUGCGCACAAUGUCCAUCUGUCGUGCUCGCUUGCUCUCAAUAGGCUACUGAGAAUCAUAAGUUAGGAAAGUCUGUCCUUCUCGGGCAGGUUUUUAUUAGUUUCGGUUUAGGAAAAAGGGCUCCACUUAAUAUUAAGUGGCCUUAAUACUAUGUACUUACAUCAAAAAGUAAGUACAAUGUACUUAUUGGGUUCAUAUUGAAUUGAAAAUCACUUUUGCUGCUAUUGAGGUGGGAUGUGGGUAAGGUUAGGUACAGGUUUGGUGGUAUGGGUUUAAGGGUAGGGGUAAGGUGUAAGGGAUGGGUCAACAGUGUUGGUUGGGUUGGUUAAAAAAAGCUUUAGAUCACUCCACAAGCACGCAGCUUAUAGUUGCAUGAGUUCCACUUGGACGUAAAAAGCAAAAUUGUCUUGCUAUUGGAUCCAAACCUUUGAAACGUUGUUUGAGCUGGACCUACUCUGAACCUGUUUAGUCAUAGGAGAGUCACGUCAUAAAAAAGCUUUAGUUAUUUAUUUGUUAGUUAUUUGCGGCUUCCCAUUUCAUUUAGCGAUAUAAAGUUUGGAGUUUUGUUUUUGAAUUUCAUCUCUAUUUAUUUGCUGCUAGCCAACGCAUUUAUCAGAUCCAAAAGCAUUGUUGAGAGGAGUUAUGGAAAAGCACAGACGAAUGAUAUCAUCAAUCGUUGUCGUUAUCAUGAUAGAAACUCGAGAUCAUGUUUGCAAAAAGCUGAUCAAGAACAUAAGGAGGUUGAGUAAAUAAUAAGAUAAUUCUCAUUGUGUAAUGAUAAUAAUAACAAUUUUUAUUUUGUAGUCAGAAAAACUUUUCAAACCGGCUAACUGAUAAACUAUUAUUUUCAAACAAAUGAAUAAGUCUUCAAUUUGUUACAUAGGAGUUCAAAGCGGUUUGUAUCGUUAAUACUUCUCCUUUCACAUUUAGCAGGGAGUGGAGCAGCGUUUUCACAAGCAAAAUUCUGCUGCUGACCCAGAGGAUGGAGUGGAAGUACCAGAUAUCCAUCAGAGAAGAAUUUAUUUCGUUCAGACAUAUCACCUUUGAAUGACUGGGAUCUUGAUCUUCAGACACCUAAUAUUAUGCAAAUAUUUUACUUUCUUUAGCGCUCUAGAUUAAAACAAACACAGCUCAGAAAUAAAUAAGAUGUUGUACUUUACUCCUAUUACUCGAUGCUGAUCUUGGAUAAACAAGAAUUAAGAUAACCCAUCUCUGAGUCCAUGUAAUGCAAAUGAAUAUGUAUUUUAAAAAGGUUACACUUUAAAAACCACACACAGUGACUGUGACAGUUAUCUAUACAACCCCAGUGAAGUAAAACAAUAGGUAACUAUUUACCAUCGCUUCUGACUAACUGCAUGCUACAAUCUACUUGAAUAUGGACUCACAGAGAUUGAUUAUUUUCUUAAAAAGCAGUGUUUAUAUGAAGAAAGUAAUAUAGUACAUCUUGGAUGGCAUGAAAGACUAUUAACAAAGACAUAUAUUGCACUCCCCUACCACAUAUUGUACCCACUGUCACUGUUUUAUUUUUACUGUGACAGUAACUGUUUAAAUGAUCUCUGCAUCAUUAAAAUAAAACAUUUUACACAUA